rnacentral:rRNA from 1 species
AUUGAACGCUGGCGGCAGGCCUAACACAUGCAAGUCGAGCGAGCGGCGGACGGGUGAGUAAUGUAUGGGGACUGCCCGAUAGAGGGGGAUAACUACUGGACACCGUAGCUAAUACCGCAUACUAUCGGCUAACCCAUAUGGGAUUAGCUAGUAGGUUAGGUAAUAGCUAACCUAGGCGACGAUCCCUAGCUGGUCUGAGAGGAUGAUAAGCAAAACUGGGACGGAGAGACGGCCCAGAAUCCUACGGAGGAAGAAGUGGGGAAGGGUGCACAAUGGGCGGAGACCUGAUGCAUCCAUGCCGCGUGUAUGAAGAAGGACCGAGGGUUGUAAAGUACUGUCAGUCGGGAGGCGUUACCGACAGAAGAAGCACCGGCUAACUCAGUGCCAGCAGCCGCGGUAAUUC